AGAAAAUUCGUUGGAUUUCAAGGAAUUAAGCAAGUAAAGGUGGUGAAACUUCCGAUAAGGGUAAGGAGAUUGUACCCGAAGAUCGGGACUAGGAGUACUUCGGCUCUCGAUAUUGAUCAGGACAAUCCAUAAAUAGUUGAUUACGUCAAGGGUUAUUAUUGGACUCGCCUCCUUAGAAAUUGUAGGUCCACAACCUUUGUUACCUUUGGUCAUUCGGGGGGUCCACACGUCAUUGUAAAUUAAAUUACAUACUCUGGUUAUCUUUGUUACUGUAUGUAUGGAUUUAUUUUGCUUUUAUGCUGCAAAAAUUAUUUAUGCAUAGUUCUAUAAA